UCCUGCACACCCCCUCCUGGGGAUGUGCCCGCAACCAAGUUAAAUGUACAUUAUAUGCUUGGAUUUGUGCUGGGAAUACCAGGAUGAGUGAGAGAAAUAACACUAUCUGGCACAUGAGAGGAAGGGAGAGGGAUAGAGAGUUAGAAACAUGGAUG